rnacentral:rRNA from 1 species
GACGAACGCUGGCGGCGUGCUUAACACAUGCAAGUCGAACGGAAAGGCCCUGCUUUUGUGGGGUGCUCGAGUGGCGAACGGGUGAGUAACACGUGAGUAACCUGCCCUUGACUUUGGGAUAACUUCAGGAAACUGGGGCUAAUACCGGAUAGGAGCUCCUGCUGCAUGGUGGGGGUUGGAAAGUUUCGGCGGUUGGGGAUGGACUCGCGGCUUAUCAGCUUGUUGGUGGGGUAGUGGCUUACCAAGGGUUUGACGGGUAGCCGGCCUGAGAGGGUGACCGGCCACAUGGGGACUGCGAUACGGCGCAGAAGCCUACGGGAGGCAGCAGUCGGGAAUAUGGCAGAGUGGGCGGACGCCUGAUGCAGCAGCGCCGCGUGCGGAAUGAUGGCCUUCGGGGUAUGAACCGCUUUCGCCGGUGACGAAGCGUGAGUGACGGUAAUGGGUAAAGAAGCACCGGCUAACUACGUG